CUGGGAAUCAAUGUGUGAGGUGGUGCUAUGUAGCAGGAACCCCUCUUGCUUUGCAAAUAGUUUUUUGUUUGUUUUCCUUUUUGCCCAAUAGAGCCCUGCUCUACUGACCCUUCAAUGUGCCCGUGUGCCUAAAUAUUCCUGGUCGUGUGAAAAGAACCCAGGUAUUAGCUGAACUAAGGAGCACAAUUCUGCAACAUUUUGGCACCCAAACACGGGGCUUGAGAAAUGAAUGCAAUUGGAGAAACUGGUUGUUUUACCAGGCGUUGAUUGGAAAUGUGUGCUUCCCUUUAAGCAGUCAAGCUCAACUUGCAGAACUGAUGGGAACCCCUUGGGAAAACUGGCCUCAAAUGUUUGUCUACACAGUCCACAUACAGGGUUCUUAACCUGCGCAUAUUUAACUAUCCGGCUAUUUUGGAGAUUGAAAAAAGAAGACCUGAUUUAUCAUGUGCAAUAUCUCACACAUCUGUCAUUUCUAUUCUACCGCAAUUCGAUGGAGUCUUGUUCUGUGGUCCAGGCUAGAGGGCAGUGGCAUGAUCUCGGCUCACUACAAGCUCUGCCUCCCGGGUUCACGCCAUUCUCCUGCCUCAGCCUCCUGAGUAGCUGGGACUACAGGCGCCCGCCACCACGCCUGGCUAAUUUUUUGUAUAUUUACUAGAGAUGGCUAGUGUUAGCCAAGAUGGUCUCGAUCUCCUGACCUCGUGAUCUGCCCACCUCAGCCUGCCAAAGUGCUGGGAUUACUGGCGUGAGCCACCGUGCCUGGCCAGCAUCCUCUAAUUAUUAUUCAUAGUUUGUGAAUUUAGGCCUACGUGAAUAAUAAUAUAAUAUUUACUAUGAUGUUACUAUCUACCAACCUUAUUUUUCUUUUCUAUAAAAUAGGAGCCAAAAUAAUAUUUAUGUCAUACCUUAUGAAGUUAAAAUAAAAUAUAACGAAUGAGGGGCUUAA
rnacentral:lncRNA from 1 species